rnacentral:ncRNA from 1 species
UCCCGGGCCUUGUACACACCGCCCGUCAAGCCAUGGAAGCUGGGGGUGCCUGAAGUCGGUCACCGCAAGGAGCCGCCUAGGGUAAAACUAGUAACUAGGGCUAAGUCGUAACAAGGUAGCCGUACCGGAAGGUGCGGCUGGAACACCUCCUUU